AUGCCCAGAAAAAGGUGAUUCUAACUCCCACCACUAACUCCCAAAGCUAGUAUUCUAAACUAAACUAUUUCCUG
rnacentral:tRNA from 1 species